rnacentral:rRNA from 2 species
UAGAGACGCUGGCGGCGUGCCUAAUACAUGCAAGUCGAACGCACUGACGUCGACCGAAGCUGCUUGCAGUGGACGUUGAUUGACGUGAGUGGCGGACGGGUGAGUAACACGUGGGUAACCUACCCUUAAGUGGGGGAUAACAUUUGGAAACAGAUGCUAAUACCGCAUAACCAUUCAGACCACAUGGUCUGAAUGUAAAAGACGGCCUUUGGCUGUCACUUUUGGACGGACCCGCGGCGUAUUAGUUAGUUGGUAAGGUAACGGCUUACCAAGACAAUGAUACGUAGCCGACCUGAGAGGGUAAUCGGCCACAUUGGGACUGAGACACGGCCCAAACUCCUACGGGAGGCAGCAGUAGGGAAUCUUCCACAAUGGACGAAAGUCUGAUGGAGCAACGCCGCGUGAGUGAAGAAGGUUUUAGGAUCGUAAAACUCUGUUGUUGGAGAAGAAACAGGGACUAGAGGUAACUGUUAGUCCUUUGACGGUAUCCCAACCAGAAAAGCCACGGCUAACUACGUGCCCAGCAGCCGCGGUAAUACGUAGGUGGCAAGCGUUGUCCCGGAUUUAUUGGGCGUAAAGCGAGCGCAGGCGGUUUUUUAAGUCUGAUGUGAAAGCCUUCGGCUUAACCGAAGAAGUGCAUUAGAAACUGGGAAACUUGAGUGCAGAAGAGGACAGUGGAACUCCAUGUGUAGCGGUGAAAUGCGUAGAUAUAUGGAAGAACACCAGUGGCGAAGGCGGCUGUCUGGUCUGUAACUGACGCUGAGGCUCGAAAGUAUGGGGAGCGAACAGGAUUAGAUACCCUGGUAGUCCAUACCGUAAACGAUGAAUGCUAAGUGUUGGAGGGUUUCCGCCCUUCAGUGCUGCAGCUAACGCAUUAAGCAUUCCGCCUGGGGAGUACGACCGCAAGGUUGAAACUCAAAGGAAUUGACGGGGGCCCGCACAAGCGGUGGAGCAUGUGGUUUAAUUCGAAGCAACGCGAAGAACCUUACCAGGUCUUGACAUCCUUUGACCACUGUAGAGAUACAGCUUUCCCUUCGGGGACAAAGUGACAGGUGGUGCAUGGUUGUCGUCAGCUCGUGUCGUGAGAUGUUGGGUUAAGUCCCGCAACGAGCGCAACCCUUAUGACUAGUUGCCAGCAUUUAGUUGGGCACUCUAGUAAGACUGCCGGUGACAAACCGGAGGAAGGUGGGGAUGACGUCAAAUCAGCAUGCCCCUUAUGACCUGGGCUACACACGUGCUACAAUGGUCGGUACAACGAGUUGCGAACCCGCGAGGGUAAGCUAAUCUCUUAAAGCCGAUCUCAGUUCGGAUUGUAGGCUGCAACUCGCCUACAUGAAGCCGGAAUCGCUAGUAAUCGCGGAUCAGCACGCCGCGGUGAAUACGUUCCCGGGCCUUGUACACACCGCCCGUCACACCAUGAGAGUUUGUAACACCCGAAGUCGGUGGGGUAACCCUUUUAGGGAACUAGCCGCCUAAGGUGGGACAGAUGAUUGGGGGAAGUC